rnacentral:rRNA from 1 species
GGAGUUAGCCGGUGCUUCUUCUGUGAGUGAUGUCCUUCCUGCCGGCUAUUAACCCGCAGGCCUUCUUCCUCACUGAAAGUGCUUUACAACCCGAAGGCCUUCUUCACACACGCGGCAUGGCUGGAUCAGGGUUGCCCCCAUUGUCCAAUAUUCCCCACUGCUGCCUCCCGUAGGAGUCUGGGCCGUGUCUCAGUCCCAGUGUGGCUGAUCAUCCUCUCAGACCAGCUACGGAUCGUCGCCUUGGUGAGCCGUUACCUCACCAACCAGCUAAUCCGACAUAGGCUCAUCCGAUAGCGCGAGGCCCGAAGGUCCCCCGCUUUCCCCCGUAGGGCGUAUGCGGUAUUAGCCUGGGUUUCCCCAGGUUAUCCCCCACUACCGGGCAGAUUCCUAUGCAUUACUCACCCGUCCGCCGCUCGCCACCAGGGAGCAAGCUCCCCGUGCUGCCGCUCGACUUGCAUGUGUUAGGUCGUCGCCGCCACGCGUUCACUACUGAACCAACGAAUACAAACUUACUGA